GAUCCCUUCGGGGUGAUUUCGAUCGGAUUAGCGGCGAACGGGUGAGUAACGCGUGAGGAACCUGCCUCUUACAACGGGAUAGCCUCGGGGAAACCGGGAUUAAUACCGUAUAAGACUCCGACACCUCCUGGUGAUGAAGUCAAAGCGUUAGCGGUAAGAGAUGGCCUCGCGUCUGAUUAGUUAGUUGGCGGGGUAACGGCCCACCAAGACGACGAUCAGUAACCGGCCUGAGAGGGUGAACGGUCACAUUGGAACUGAGACACGGUCCAAACUCCUACGGGAGGCAGCAGUGGGGAAUCUUGCACAAUGGGGGAAACCCUGAUGCAGCGACGCCGCGUGAGCGAUGAAGGUUUUCGAAUCGUAAAGCUCUGUCCUAUGGGAAGAUAAUGACGGUACCAUGGGAGGAAGCCCCGGCUAACUACGUGCCAGCAGCCGCGGUAAUACGUAGGGGGCGAGCGUUGUCCGGAAUUACUGGGCGUAAAGGGUUCGCAGGCGGCAUGGCAAGUCCGAUGUAAAAGGCGAAGGCUCAACCUUCGUAAGCAUCGGAAACUGUCAAGCUUGAGUGAAGGAGAGGCAAGUGGAAUUCCUAGUGUAGCGGUGGAAUGCGUAGAUAUUAGGAGGAAUACCGGUGGCGAAAGCGACUUGCUGGACUUCA
rnacentral:rRNA from 1 species